UACAGAGGGUGCGAGCGUUAAUCGGAAUUACUGGGCGUAAAGCGUGCGUAGACGGUCAAGUAAGUCGGGUGUGAAAAGCCCCGGGCUCAACCUGGGAAUUGCAUUCGAGACUGCGUGGCUAGGGUGCGGAAGAGGGAAGGCGGAAUUUCCGGUGUAGCGGUGAAAUGCGUAGAUAUCGGAAGGAACACCAGUGGCGAAAGCGGAGCUUCCGUG
rnacentral:rRNA from 1 species